rnacentral:lncRNA from 1 species
CUCCCUUGUUCUUUGCUCACCUGCCCGCCUGCCUAGCCUGCUCCAGUUGCUGCUACCAGCAGUCUCUCUGCUUCUCUACCUCCAAGAUGCACUGGAUCCCUACCCAGUGUACCAGGCACUCACCUGUGCCACAUUAUCCCCAGGAGCUCUGCCUGGAUCCACUGGGUACAGAGUGGGACCAUCCCCUGGGCUCCAAGGACCUGGAUGGAGAGGAAGAACCAUGGAAAGGAGGCGCUGGUCUGCCACCCACAGACUGCUUCCCUGGGCCCUGGCGCCAGGAUGUUAGCCUGGAUUGCAAGGGCUCCCCGGAAGAGGCUGAGGCUCGGGCCUGGACUGUGUACUACUACGGUCUCCUUCAGAGCUGUCUGCAGCAAGCUGGCCUUCCUGAGACCCAGGAUCGCAGCCAGGCACCUCGUACAGGUGCCUCAGGGCUCCGCAAAUGGGUCUCCCAGAGACAGGG